rnacentral:rRNA from 1 species
GAUGAACGCUGGCGGCGUGCCUAAUACAUGCAAGUCGAGCGAACAGACGAGGAGCUUGCUCCUCUGACGUUAGCGGCGGACGGGUGAGUAACACGUGGAUAACCUACCUAUAAGACUGGGAUAACUUCGGGAAACCGGAGCUAAUACCGGAUAAUAUAUUGAACCGCAUGGUUCAAUAGUGAAAGACGGUUUUGCUGUCACUUAUAGAUGGAUCCGCGCCGCAUUAGCUAGUUGGUAAGGUAACGGCUUACCAAGGCAACGAUGCGUAGCCGACCUGAGAGGGUGAUCGGCCAAACGGGAACUGAGACACGGUCCAGACUCCUACGGGAGGCAGCAGUAGGGAAUCUUCCGCAAAGGGCGAAAGCCUGACGGAGCAACGCCGCGUGAGUGAUGAAGGUCUUCGGAUCGUAAAACUCUGUUAUUAGGGAAGAACAAAUGUGUAAGUAACUAUGCACGUCUUGACGGUACCUAAUCAGAAAGCCACGGCUAACUACGUG